rnacentral:rRNA from 1 species
AUGUACGACUACAGAUCCGGGGUGCGUCUAGUACCUCUCCGAACAAACUUGAAUGACUGCCGUCGCAAGAACGGGACCGGAGACUGUGAAGACCCCAAGUACCAUGACACCGAUGACAUGAACAUCUACGGAACAUGUACGACUACUUCCCUCUCCAAGGAACCGGGUAACGGAACCGUCAAGUUCGUCUACCGCCUACAUGUACAACUACCCUCACCGUGGUCCAAUUGUACAACUACUUCCUCUACUUCCCUCGACGAACCUGAACCAUCCCGAUUGCACGCUUCGAAGCUUCGGUUCCGUUCCGGAGUUGUGAGGAUCCGUUCGACUCCGUCCAUUUGUCUUCUUCAUGGACUCGUUCUUCUUCCUUGUGGGAUUUCAGCUUGCAGGUGCCGAUGA